UACGUAGGGUGCAAGCGUUGUCCGGAAUUAUUGGGCGUAAAGAGCUCGUAGGCGGUUUGUCGCGUCUGCUGUGAAAACUCAGGGCUUAACCCUGAGCCUGCAGUGGGUACGGGCAGACUAGAGUGUGGUAGGGGAGAUCGGAAUUCCUGGUGUAGCGGUGGAAUGCGCAGAUAUCAGGAGGAACACCAAUGGCGAAGGCAGCUCGCUGGGACGGUACUGACGCUGAGACGCGAAAGCGUGGGGAGCGAACAGG
rnacentral:rRNA from 1 species